AGUGCUCCAGGCCUGCAGAGUGAUCUCUUUGGGUUUCGGUUCUGACUUGUUAGACGCUUGGAGUUCAGGAGUAGCUCUGGAAGAGUUUGAAGUUCGUCACUAUCAGCAACCCUAUCCUCUAAGCGCGUCCCUAGAGAUUUUUCCAGCUGAUGCCCCAGCAGCUUGGGGAGGGGAGCCUGGCAAGCUUAGCCAUCGGGUGAUAGCCUUAAAACUCAAAGAAAAAGGUACCGUUCAGUUUGUACCAGCCUCUGUCCACAGCGCCUGACAUCUUCAAGGGACAGCAGUGCGUUCCUGGAGGCUAUCGAGGAAAGUUGGGGAGCCUAGAAGACAGAAUAUACUGAGAAGAGGGUAGCUAGAGCAGGCAGCAUAUUUUGAUGAACUCCUCUUUGUGUAGAUUUUGAUGGAAGAUGUAUCUUGAGGAGAAAGAAAAGACUUGUGUAUAAAAGUGUGGCUGGACCCUUGCUGCUGCUGGACUUCUGAUAGGAGCCAAGAAGAACCCUCCGGUGAGUCACGCCAGCUCAAGGUCCAGUGCCUUCACCCAAGACUAAGCAAGUGCUUCUCGAGUCUCAUGGGAGAGCUCGGGACUUGGAUGCUUUAGACGUUUGUAGACCUUUUAGUAUGUUUGGAUUGGGGUGGAGGCUGAAAAACUGC